AACAAAGAAUGACCUCACUUUGUUGUAUAGAAAGUCUCAUUAGUAAGGAAGCAUAUAUGAAUUUUCUGAGUCAAGACCUAGAGUUACUGUUUGGGGUUUUGUUAGGUUAUGUUAGGUUAAGUUUAGGGUAUCUUCAAACACAUGAUAGCCAACACCUUAUGGUAUAAAUCAACAAAGAAUGACCUCACUUUGUUGUACUGAAAGUCUCAUUAGUAAGGAAGCAUAUAUGAAUUUUCUGAGUCAAGACCUAGAGUUACUGUUUGGGGUUUUGUUAGGUCAUGAUAGGUUAAGUUUAGGGUAUCUUCAAACACAUGAUAGCCAGCACCUUAUGGUAUAAAUCAACAAAGAAUGACCUCACUUUGUUGUAUAGAAAGUCUCAUUAGUAAGGAAGCAUAUAUGAAUUUUCUGAGUCAUGACCUAGAGUUACUGCUUGGGGUUUUGUUAUGUUAAGUUUAGGAUAUCUUCAAACACAUGAUAGCCAGCACUUUAUGGUAUAAGUCAACAAAGAAUGACCUCACUUUGUUGUAUAGAAAGUCUCAUUAGUAAGGAAGCAUAUAUGAAUUUUCUGAGUCAAGACCUAGAGUUACUGUUUGGGAUUUUGUUAGGUUAUGUUAGGUUAAGUUUAGGGUAUCUUCAAACACAUGAUAGCCAGCACCUUAUGGUAUAAAUCAACAAAGAAUGACCUCACUUUGUUGUAUAGAAAGUCUCAUUAGUAAGGAAGCAUAUAUGAAUUUUCUGAGUCAAGACCUAGAGUUACUGUUUGGGGUUUUGUUAGGUUAUGUUAGGUUAAGUUUAGGGUAUCUUCAAACACAUGAUAGCCAGCACCUUAUGGUAUAAAUCAACAAAGAAUGACCUCACUUUGUUGUAUAGAAAGUUUCAUUAGUAAGGAAGCAUAAAUGAAUUUUCUGAGUCAAG